rnacentral:rRNA from 1 species
UGGGGAAUAUUGCACAAUGGGCGCAAGCCUGAUGCAGCCAUGCCGCGUGUGUGAAGAAGGCCUUCGGGUUGUAAAGCACUUUCAGCGGGGAGGAAGGCGUUAAGGUUAAUAACCUUGGCGAUUGACGUUACCCGCAGAAGAAGCACCGGCUAACUCCGUGCCACCAGCCGCGGUAAUACGGAGGGUGCAAGCGUUAAUCGGAAUUACUGGGCGUAAAGCGCACGCAGGCGGUCUGUCAAGUCGGAUGUGAAAUCCCCGGGCUCAACCUGGGAACUGCAUUCGAAACUGGCAGGCUAGAGUCUUGUAGAGGGGGGUAGAAUUCCAGGUGUAGCGGUGAAAUGCGUAGAGAUCUGGAGGAAUACCGGUGGCGAAGGCGGCCCCCUGGACAAAGACUGACGCUCAGGUGCGAAAGCGUGGGGAGCAAACAGG